UUCGGAUUGGAGUCUGCAACCCGGCCUCCAUGAAGCUGGAUUCGCUAGUAAUCGCGCAUCAGCCAUGGCGCGGUGAAUACGUUCCCGGGCCUUGUACACACCGCCCGUCAAGCCAUGGAAGCCGGGAGUGCCUGAAGUGCGUGAGCGUAAGCAGCGCCCUAAGGUAAAACCGGUGACUGGGGCUAAGUCGUAACAAGGUACC
rnacentral:rRNA from 1 species